GACGAACGCUGGCGGCGUGCUUAACACAUGCAAGUCGAACGGAAAGGCCCUGCUUUUGUGGGGUGCUCGAGUGGCGAACGGGUGAGUAACACGUGAGUAACCUGCCCUUGACUUUGGGAUAACUUCAGGAAACUGGGGCUAAUACCGGAUAGGAGCUCCUGCUGCAUGGUGGGGGUUGGAAAGUUUCGGCGGUUGGGGAUGGACUCGCGGCUUAUCAGCUUGUUGGUGGGGUAGUGGCUUACCAAGACUUUGACGGGUAGCCGGCCUGAGAGGGUGACCGGCCACAUUGGGACUGAGAUACGGCCCAGACUCCUACGGGAGGCAGCAGUGGGGAAUAUUGCACGAUGGGCGGAAGCCUGAUGCAGCAACGCCGCGUGCGGGAUGACGGCCUUCGGGUUGUAAACCGCUUUCGCCUGUGACGAAGCGUGAGUGACGGUAAUGGGUAAAGAAGCACCGGCUAACUACGUG
rnacentral:rRNA from 1 species